AGCGAACGCUGGCGGCGUGCCUAACACAUGCAAGUCGAACGUGAAAAGGGAAACCUGAGUAAAGUGGCGUACGGGUGAGUAACGCGUAGGUAAUCUACCCCAGAAUCUGGAAUAACCUGCCGAAAGGCGGGCUAAUACUGGAUAGAGCGAGGGAACUCGUAAGAGAGUUUUUCGGGUAAGGGAGCCCGCAAGGGCCUUCGUUCUGGGAUGAGCCUGCGUCUCAUUAGCUAGUUGGUAAGGUAACGGCUUAUCAAGGCGAUGAUGAGUAGCUGGUCUGAGAGGAUGAUCAGCCGCACUGGGACUGGAACACGGUCCAGACUCCUACGGGAGGCAGCAGUAGGGAAUCUUGCGGCAUGGACGAAAGUCUGACGCCACCACGCCGCAUGAGUGGAGAAGGACUUCGGGUUGUAAAGCUCUGUCGGAUGGGAUGAACAUCUUCAUAGUGAAUAGCUAUGAGGACUGACGGUACCAGCAAAGGAAGCACCGGCUAACUCCGUG
rnacentral:rRNA from 1 species